rnacentral:rRNA from 1 species
AGCAGCCGCGGUAAUUCCAGCUCCAAUAGCGUAUAUUAAAGUUGUUGCAGUUAAAAAGCUCGUAGUUGAAUUUCGGGGUUAGUACGCUGGUCGUGCCUUCGGUAUGUACUGGUGUUACUGAUUCCUACCUUCUGAAGAACCGUCAUGUCAUUAAUUUGGUGUGGCGGGGAAUCAGGACUGUUACUUUGAAAAAAUUAGAGUGUUUAAAGCAGGCUCGCGCUUGAAUACAUUAGCAUGGAAUAAUGAAAUAGGACGUUUGAUCCUAUUUUGUUGGUUUCUAGGAUUGACGUAAUGAUUAAUAGGGAUAGUUGGGGGCAUUAGUAUUCAAUUGUCAGAGGUGAAAUUCUUGGAUUUAUUGAAGACUAACUACUGCGAAAGCAUUUGCCAAGGAUGUUUUCAUUAAUCAAGAACGAAAGUUAGGGGAUCGAAGACGAUCAGAUACCGUCGUAG